CAGGAUUUAAUAGAUUGGGGGGGGGGAGCUUGCUCUACGGAAUUGGCUUACGGAUAAGAUUAAGGAAGCUUGAAGCCUUGGAGGCCUGAAGUCCUGACGAUAAGAAAGGGUUAAAGGCCCGCAGUCCUGCCUUGAAUUUUGAGGCCAGUAGUCCUGCUUAAAGGUAAUCCAGCGGCGACUGGUGGAGGUUAUAGUAAAGGAGAAAUCCAGCGGCGACUGGUGACGAACGCAGAGACAGCCGCCAGCCAAGGGAAGCAGGUUCCAGUCAUACCGCCAGGAAGCUGGGUGUGGAUUAAGGCCCAUAAACGCAAGUGGAGCGAUCCAAGGUGGACCGGUCCUUGGGAGGUAGUAUUGGCAACAUCACACUCGGUAAAGGUGAAAGGUAAAGCGGGAGCCACUUGGCAUCAUCUCACACAUUGUGCACCUGCUAAGGCACCAAGCCAGACCCUUGCGGAGACCCGAUUAAAUACCAGGCAAGUUAAUUCAGAGCCAAAAGACACAGGAGGGGACAAAGCAGCAGAAAAUGUCUCGCCCACAGCGUAAGUAUCAGUUGGUAGUAGGGAGUUCAAGUUCAGCUCGGGGAGGUGCAGCUGUUCACACAGGUGACGAUGACAUGACGUCUGUAAGUGAUCUAUCCCAUCCCAGUCGACAAGAUGUUUCCUUACCACCUAACAUCCAAGCAGCAAUUGCUCUCACGUAGACAUUCAAGGAAAAUAUAACUGCAUCUGUUCAAUUUGAUUAUUGUGAUAUUGCAGCCUGCGGAGUCCAAGACCUCAGGUUUUGGAGGUCGGACCAAUACUUGUGUUCCACCACCAACCAAGGUGGACCAGGAGUCAGGUUUGGUAAGCCAGUGGAGCAGUACGGCUGUGACUGCGAGGAGGCAGAAUGGAAGUUCGCACACACUGGUAGAUGGAAGUCAUCUAAAACUGGUCCUAAACCUGGGCUGCAAACCCGUUUAACAAUGCGGAAAAACCGAUAUCCAGAUUUGGCUAAAUGUGGGGGAGGGUUGUGCAAUCCACUAAUAAUCACAUUGAAAAAUCCAGGAUUGGGGGACAGUGGACUAUACGUGUUGAAAGGAGGGACAUACGAUAUUGAAAGCCCACAAGGGUUGUUUAAGAUUGUUGUUAAACCCUCUGCUAACAAACAGGGAUCCACUGCUGAUCAGGUUGGAGCUGAAGCUGACACUUCUUGGGAGGGUGUGGUAAGACGGGAAACUGGAUUCUCGGAGUCUAAUCUAUGGCUCCAAUGGGUACAGUAUACUGCCACAAACAUGCACAGUACAGAUUGUAUAGUGUGUUCUCAACCUAGGCCUAUGCCCACUCCUGUACGUUCCAGAUUCAGACCAAUAAGUCCUAUAUUCAAAUGUAUACUGGAGCUCUUUGUCCUGCAGACUCAGCCUGUCCACCAUACUUGUCUAGAGUUCCAAUGGGAUUAUCCGCCAGCUACUUUGAGCACGCCACCUCAAUUUAUGGUUCCAGAUGGUACAUUUGAUUGCAUAGUAUCAGAGAUAACGGGAGGGAUAAAAGUAGGUGACAUUGCAGGAGUAAACUGUACCACAGUUCAGUUUGCUAAUGUCACUCGAUAUUCAAGUGUGUUGAAUCAGACGAUUUCCAGAGCCGACCUCUGGUGAUGGUGUGGAACUAAGGUUAUUUAUCCAACGCUGCCAGCUAAUUGGACGGGUACUUGUGCAUUAGUGCAGCUUAUCAUGCCAUUCUAUGUCUUUCCAGUGAAGGAGACCACAUUUCAAGACUUGAUUUUACCACAUCCUCACGUCGCCAGGAGAGCGAAGAGAUCCACUAGUCCUGCGGGCUCAUUUGAUAGUCAUGUGUACUUAGAUGCCAUUAGGGUGCCCAGAGGGGUGCCUGAUGAGUUUAAAGCCAGGAAUCAAAUUACGAGCGGCAUAGAAUCCUUUUUCUUCUGGUGGGUGACAAUCAAUAAAAAUGUAGACUGGAUUAAUUACAUAUACUACAACCAGCAGCGAUUCAUAAAUUUCACCCGGGAUGCCACAACAGGGCUCCACGAGCAGUUGGAUAAGACUAGUUUGAUGGCAUG